rnacentral:rRNA from 1 species
AUUGAACGCUGGCGGCAGGCCUAACACAUGCAAGUCGAGCGAGUUGCGCACGUGUGAGUAAUUUCUGUGAAACUCCCUGCUUGAGGGGGAUAACUACUUGAAACGGUCGCUAAUUCCGCAUUCCAUCAGAUGUGCCCAGAUGGGAGUAGCUUGUAGGUGGGGUAAUGGCUCACCUAGGCGACGAUCCCUAGCUGGUCUGAGAGGAUGAACGGCCACACUGGAAGUGAGAAAGGGUCAAGGCUCCUACGGAGGGCAGCGGUGGGGAAGAUGGCACAAUGGGCGCAAGCCGGAUGCAGCCAUGCCGAGUGUGUGAAGAAGGACUUCGGGUUGUAAAGCACUUUCAGCGGGGAGGCGGUACACGCAGAAGAAGCACCGGCUAAAUCCGUGCCAGCAGCCGCGGUAAUUC